CUAAUACUCCCUCCGUUCGGAAUUACUUGUCUUCAAAAUGGAUGUAUCUAGAACUAAAAUACAUCUAGGUACAUCCAUUUCAAUGACAACUAUUUCCGAACGGAGGGAGCAGAUG
rfam:Triticum aestivum genome assembly, contig: Triticum_aestivum_CS42_TGACv1_scaffold_593040_7BS